rnacentral:rRNA from 1 species
GAUGAACGCUGACAGAAUGCUUAACACAUGCAAGUCUUUGGCGAAUCUGUGCUUGCACAGGCUAGCCAAGGCGGACGGGUGAGUAACGCGUAAAGAACUUGCCCUGCAGACAGGGAUAACAGACGGAAACGACUGAUAACACCUGAUACAGUUGCCGGCACGCAUGUGCCUGGCAAUGAAAAGAGAUGCUGCAGGAGAGCUUUGCGUCCUAUUAGCUUGUUGGUGAGGUGACGGCUCACCAAGGCGAUGAUAGGUAGCCGGCCUGAGAGGGUGAACGGCCACAAGGGGACUGAGAUACGGCCCUUACUCCUACGGGAGGCAGCAGUGGAGAAUAGUGGACAAUGGGGGCAACCCUGAUCCAGCAAUUCUGUGUGCACGAAGAAGGUUUUCGGAGUGUAAAGUGCUUUCAGCAGGGAAGAAGAAAGUGACGGUACCUGCAGAAGAAGCGACGGCUAAAUACGUG